GACGAACGCUGGCGGCGUGCCUAAUACAUGCAAGUUGAGCGCUGAAGGUUGGUACUUGUACCAACUGGAUGAGCAGCGAACGGGUGAGUAACGCGUGGGGAAUCUGCCUUUGAGCGGGGGACAACAUUUGGAAACGAAUGCUAAUACCGCAUAAAAACUUUAAACACAAGUUUUAAGUUUGAAAGAUGCAAUUGCAUCACUCAAAGAUGAUCCCGCGUUGUAUUAGCUAGUUGGUGAGGUAAAGGCUCACCAAGGCGAUGAUACAUAGCCGACCUGAGAGGGUGAUCGGCCACAUUGGGCCGGGGACACGGCCCAAACUCCUACGGGAGGCAGCAGUAGGGAAGCUUCGGCAAGGGACGAAAGUCUGACCGAGCAACGCCGCGUGAGUGAAGAAGGUUUUCGGAUCGUAAAACUCGGUUGGUAGAGAAGAACGUUGGUGAGAGUGGAAAGCUCAUCAAGUGACGGUAACUACCCAGAAAGGGACGGCUAACUACGUG
rnacentral:rRNA from 1 species